GACGAACGCUGGCGGCGUGCUUAACACAUGCAAGUCGAACGAAGAGCGAUGGAAGCUUGCUUCUAUCAAACUUAGUGACGGACGGGUGAGUAACGCGUAAUCAACCUGCCCUUCAGAGGGGGACAACAGUUGGUAACGACUGCUAAUACUGCAUACGAUCUAAUCUCGGCAUCGAGGGUAGAUGAACGGUGGCCUCUACAGGUAAGCUAUCACAGAAGGUGGUGGGUGCGUCUGAUGAGCUAGGUGGAGUGGUAAGGUAGCACGUAGGCGAUGAUCAGUAGCCGGUCUGAGAGGAUGAACGGCCAGACUGAGAGGGUGACACGGCCCAGUGUGCUAGGGGAGGCAGCAGUGGGGAAUCUUGCGCAAGCGACGAGAGUCUGACGGAGCAACGCCGCAUGAGGGAGGACGGCCGUCGGGUUGGAAAGGUCUGUUAAUCGGGAGGAAAGGCCUUCUGGCUAAUAGGGAGAAGGAUUGACGGUAACGGAAAAGAAAGCCACGGCUAACUACGUG
rnacentral:rRNA from 1 species